rnacentral:lncRNA from 1 species
CAAACAUGAGUUUGUUUAAUAAAAUUUGGGCUACUCUGUGUGGCAUGCUGCCACUGAACAUAUAAUUCCUUUCCCUUUUAUUCGAAGAAGCUCCUGUUGGAGGCAGCUUCCCCCUCCCUUCUCUUCUUUCAUCCCACAGAUCAUUUCCAUACAGCCCACUCGAUAUUGCCUGGCAGCACGAGGGACCAGAAUAGCAUGGAGAAUUGAAACCCACAGAAGAGCUACAGCCUCCUCCCCCUUGGACACUGGCAAGCUAAGCUGCUAACAAGUGGCAGGAUCGAUUCAUUUGAAUUUCAUCUCCCUUCAUUUCCUCUGCCUUCCCUCUGGUGCUGGUGAUAAUGAGCGGUGAAAAUGACCCAGGACCCAGGAGGCAGAUGCAAGUGGGGGGGUGGAAUCCAGGGGUUGAGAUAAUCCAUAGCUUGAAGACUCAAGAAUUAGCUUUGGUUCCUUCUCCUCCCACAGCUUUAUCUCAGGUGGCCACUGAACAAGGAGCCGCUCCCGCAAGUGGUCUCUGGAAAGAUUUCUGUCUGAGUCUUCUUUUUGUUGACACUACAAAGACACCUCGUCGGAGCUGUCAUCUCGGUCAUCUCAGAAAGAGGCUCAGAAAGUGUUUUGUUUUGUUUUGUUUUGUUUUCACAUUUGAGAAAAGCCUAUGUUUACCUGGAAAGAUAAAGGGCGCAGGUGGAGAACAGGAAGAGGCAAGAACAUUUCUAGACGAGAUGCAACCCAUUGAUCUGACCUGGGCUGCCUCUUUCAUCCACCGGCAUAAUUAGGUAAACAGGAGACAGCCUACCUGAUGAUCCUCCUGUUAGAAUUAUUGCCAUCGACAGUAUCCAGGCAAGUUCUUUGUAUGACUUUGUUGUUCUAUGAAUACUGGUUUGUUUUUCCAUUCUGUCAUCUUCUUUAGGGAAAACUUAAAUGGUUGAUGUUUUUGGUUUUCUUAAAAAAUACGUAUCACAGGAUAAAAUAAAUGAGGAAAUUUGUAUCUUCGCUGAUCCCCAGGCGGUCUGAGAAGAUGAAAUUUGAAACUGUACAUUAGAGAGCCUCACAAAAUGAAGAAUCUAAAUCUGAAAUCAAGGGCAAAUUAAAUGAAGAUUGGGAUGAUUUAUACAUCACUUAGUUUCUGCUAACAGAUCAGAGGGGCAGCAGUUCUACUUGCUUUGAUAAGACAGCAGUUCUAGAAAGGAACAUCUAAGGUUCUAGAAGGAAGGAUAAGUACAAAUAAAUUCUCUAUUCACCUUUAAUUGAAAUCAGAGCCCAGUGUUAGCCUCAGAUCAUCAGCCUAGAUUAUUUGGUGAGAAUGUCUGAGGUUCCAGGUCUGGGCAGGCUCAUUAAGGGGUUAAUGGGCAAAAUGGAAGGGAAGCCUCUGGGUUCUGCCCUUCAGGACAGUGUAUAGGAGAGUGGGUUCCAUUGGUUGGAAAUCUUUUGCAGACCAAACAACAGGUGCGAACCUCAGAGUGUCUGCAUGCCGGUUCUAGCUCCUGAAUUAAUAAAAUGUUAUUUAUUUCAGUUCUGUUUCAUCACGAUUGCUAAGACAUGACAUUUCAAUUCUUCACUGAACCUCUAGAAACUUUGCUUCCUUUGUAGUUGUUUCUUUGAUGUUUACCUUUGUGUUUUCCGGAUAGCUUCUGAGAGCCUGAGAGAUCUAGCAAGUACUAGAAUGGCUACUCACAUAUGCCCAGAACUACCACACAGGCUCUGUGUCCAGGAUAUGUUUAAAACAAAAAAAUCAGUCAACAAAGAGAAAUAACUGACAUCUGUUGUGCACCAACUAUGUGCCAUGUAGGUAGUUCACUAAAUAAUAUCACUUUAUCCUUAUUGAAAAUAGAAGCAGUAAAUACUUUUGUUAACUUCAUUUGCAGAGUGGGAAACAGAGGCAAGGAAACUGGGGUUCAGACUGAGCCCUUGCUCCUAACCACUGGCUGCACUAAUAGAGCACUGACUUCAUGCUGGCCAUUGUGAUAGGCACUAGGAAUAUAUAAGCCAAC